rnacentral:rRNA from 1 species
CUACGAAGGGGGCUAGCGUUGUUCGGAAUCAUUGGGCGUAAAGCGCACGUAGGCGGCCUGAUAAGUCAAAUGUGAAAGCCCUCGGCUUAACCGAGGAAGUGCAUUCGAAACUGUCAGGCUUGAGUAUGGGAGAGGGUUGCGGAAUUCCCGGUGUAGAGGUGAAAUUCGUAGAUAUCGGGAGGAACACCAGCGGCGAAGGCGGCAGCCUGGACCAAUACUGACGCUGAGGUGCGAAAGCGUGGGGAGCAAACAGGAUUAGAUACCCUAGUAGUCC